GACGAACGCUGGCGGCGUGCCUAAUACAUGCAAGUAGAACGCACAGUUUAUACUGUAGCUUGCUACACCAUAGACUGUGAGUUGCGAACGGGUGAGUAACGCGUAGGUAACCUGCCUGGUAGCGGGGGAUAACUAUUGGAAACGAUAGCUAAUACCGCAUAAUAUUAAUUAUUGCAUGAUAAUUAAUUGAAAGGUGCAAUUGCACCACUACCAGAUGGACCUGCGUUGUAUUAGCUAGUAGGUGAGGUAACGGCUCACCUAGGCGACGAUACAUAGCCGACCUGCGAUGGUGAUCAGCCACCCUGGGAGUGGGACACGGCCCAGGCUCAUACGGGAGGGAGCAGGAGGGAAUCUUCGGCAAUGGGCGAAAGUCUGACCGAGCGACGCCGCGGGAGGGAAGAAGGUUUUCGGAUCGUAAAGCUCUGUUGUAAGAGAAGAACGGGUGUGGGAGUGGAAAGUUCACACUGUGACGGUAACUGAGCAGAAAGGGACGGCUAACUACGUG
rnacentral:rRNA from 1 species